rnacentral:rRNA from 1 species
GGGAAUCUACCGUGCCCUGCGGAAUAGCUCCGGGAAACUGGAAUUAAUACCGCAUACGCCCUACGGGGGAAAGAUUUAUCGGGGUAUGAUGAGCCCGCGUUGGAUUAGCUAGUUGGUGGGGUAAAGGCCUACCAAGGCGACGAUCCAUAGCUGGUCUGAGAGGAUGAUCAGCCACAUUGGGACUGAGACACGGCCCAAACUCCUACGGGAGGCAGCAGUGGGGAAUAUUGGACAAUGGGCGCAAGCCUGAUCCAGCCAUGCCGCGUGAGUGAUGAAGGCCUUAGGGUUGUAAAGCUCUUUCACCGGAGAAGAUAAUGACGGUAUCCGGAGAAGAAGCCCCGGCUAACUUCGUGCCAGCAGCCGCGGUAAUACGAAGGGGGCUAGCGUUGUUCGGAAUUACUGGGCGUAAAGCGCACGUAGGCGGAUAUUUAAGUCAGGGGUGAAAUCCCAGAGCUCAACUCUGGAACUGCCUUUGAUACUGGGUAUCUUGAGUAUGGAAGAGGCAAGUGGAAUUGCGAGU